CCGCAGCCCGCGCGCUCCUGGCUCUCGCUGCUGAGCUGACCCGGACGGGGGACGCUCACCUUUCUGCUUGUGAAACUUCCUCCUGAAACUCUGAGCCAAGAGAAACCUUUCCUUCCGUGCGUGAGCUGCUUCUGGGCAGAGUUUCACGAGAUUGAAAAUGAACGAACAUCUGGAAAGAGCUUAGAACACCUGGCAUAGAGGGGGGACGGAGAUGUUAACUGUCACAUUUCAUUUAAGUUCUCUGCAAUUCUUCAGCUGACCUAAAGGACAGGUAUUCUUACCUCGGGGGCAGAAGUCAGACUCAGGUAUAUGUGCUGCCGAAGUGAACACUCGGGUCCUUUCUUUAGUUUAAGAAUGAGGACUCAACUUUGUUCCCCAGUAUUGCAUUAAGAAAAUAAGCAGUUAAGGCAUUUGCCUGUGAAGCCUAAGGACUCAUGUUUGAC